CUCCCGCAGUCCUGGGGCCGACAGAAGUCUCCUGGCAAUGGGGGCAAGGGGCAAGAUAAGGGAGGGACGAGAGCUCGAGGCCCUCCCCGGACUUGGAAGCUCCUACCUAGAAGCCCUAAAGACCCCUCCACCCGCGCACCACCCGAGCGCGGCCGCGACGCACCGACCUCCCCCGAGCCUGCGGCGUCCCCAGAGGGUGCGCACUUCCAGCUCCGAUCCCACCCCGCAGCUCCCAGUCCGGUCCGCUGACGGGGAGCGCUAGGCUGUUCCUUUGUGUCAGGGGGCACCCACGACGUCCCAGCAACAUUGCAGGGGCAGUGGCCAGGAUCAUCCCUUCCCCAGUCCGCCGACACCGAGAAGCCCAAAGACGGUCGGAAAGGGCGGCGGUUCCUACCGAGACCGAGCACCUUGAACAUAAAAGGAAUUCAAUGAAUGUCUACUGAAUGGAUGGAUUCCUUCCAUGAAGAAAGGAGCCAAGAGAAUGACUAAUGAAGCUAAUUAGCCAGAAAGAAAUCCAUGUAGAGAGUUGAAAUCUUCCAUGAAGAAAGAAAGGAGGAGAGCGGAGAGCCCAGAUCCAAGGCCUAAAGAAGAUGGAC